rnacentral:rRNA from 1 species
UACGGGGGGGGCAAGCGUUGUUCGGAAUUACUGGGCGUAAAGGGCGCGUAGGCGGUUUGCUAAGUUGGAUGUGAAAACUCUGGGCUUAACCCAGAGCCUGCAUCCAAAACUGGCAAACUUGAGUACUGGAGGGGAAAGCGGAAUUCCUGGUGUAGCGGUGAAAUGCGUAGAUAUCAGGAGGAACACCGGUGGCGAAGGCGGCUUUCUGGACAGUAACUGACGCUGAGGCGCGAAAGCGUGGGGAGCGAACGGG